CCAGGGCAGAUCUCCCUGGACCUGGACACCAGACACUUGGGGCCACCGAGUCCAGGACAGGUCCAGUCAGGCCCGGCCACCACUAUUGGGGCCCAACAGGAGGAGAGCAGGGCAGAGGACUGCAUGGUGAGGACGGCGCUGGCAGGCAUGCAGCACCCGCUGAGGGAGCCCCCGGAAUGGGACUUUCUGGACAGCUGCCCCAUCCACGAAGACUCCCUCCUGGACCCCUCUGGGGCCUGCAUUCCCACCCUGCAGGAGGGGAUGGUGCGAAGGCGAGCUCUGUGGUUGGCACCCAGGGGCACUUGGCCACUGUGGCCCCAAGUCUUUGGAAGGUCCUCUUUUUCUGUCCUCCACUUCCUGGUGGAGCUGCACUCCCAGGAGACUCCACUAGCUGAACUCUGGCCCAGCUGGAGCAAGCUGAGCCCACUGAGGCACAGCCCACAGGGCCAGCUCCAGCCCCAGCUGAAGUCUCAUGUGCGGAGCCCGAGCCAGCUCCACCUGCAGCUUCCUGCCCAGUGCUGGGACCACAGCCAGAGUCUGUGGCAGCCCCUUCACCUGCUGCCGUGCUGGGGUACCUGGUGAUUGCAUGGCGGUCGGUGUCACCUCCUGAGCUCCGCCUGGGGCCAGCUCCUGGCCCCCUCCCACUGUUCCCCUCACUUAUGCUGGCUCUUGUUUUGGUGUUUACAAUUGCCCUUAUUUCUUGGAUUUAUAUAAAUAAUAGAACUAGCUUUUAAUAAAACUUAAAAUUUUAGUGUUAAAAGGGUCAGCAUGGCAGCCUAAAGUGUCUUCUCCCUGUGUGCGCCCAUCCCCAGAGCACUGUGCUUGGUGGCUCCUGCCCACACCCCUGGGCACUGCUUCUCUCGUGUCCCCACGGGCACCUGGCCUGCAGGGUUCACACCAGUGCAGUCGGACUUGCCUUUGGCCACACAGUCGUGAGAGGGGCUGAUGAAUCUUGUGCUAUGCAGAAGGGGAAACCCUAGAAAGAUCCUGGCCAUUUUUCAUUGGCUUCUUCAGUAGGUAAUCCAGGUUGUGUUGCCAGACAGGAUGUAUUUAUUACAGUAAGAUAACGUGUGCAGUCUGAAUGAAGGACAGGAGAAGGGCACCAUCGCAGGAAACCCACUGGGCCGUGGCCUCCCCUAGGCGGCCCCUCCCUGUCUGCAUCUCGGGGUUCAGGCUGUGUCUUCCCUGCUGGGAGGGGGUGCGCCACUCCUCAGCUCUCCUACCAUCUCAUUACGUGCGUGGGGACCUGGCCUGUCAAGCUCAACCCCACACAUUCAGGGCCCCAGUGACACAGUUGGCUCAGCAGCCUCUGCCCUCCUGGUUCCAGGGUCCCCGGUGUCUGUGUCAUCAAUGCUGCUUUUUAGGGUGGAAGCCUGGCAGCGGAGACUCCUCAUAGUCACAGGAGCGGGGCCAGAGAUGGGCUCCUUCUGCGGAGUUUGCAGGGCAGAGCAUGCCAUCCUGGCUGAGCUUCAGGUGACCUCCUGGAAGGAUGAACAGUCUUGCUCCACUGAGUACAGCUGUAGUAGAAAUUCAUAUUUUAAAAACGUUCAAUUUGAGGGAAAGCUUUAUAUAAGACACAUAGUUUUAAAAACUGAAGUGAUUACAGGGUAGCAGAAAGGCCUUGCUAUUCUGUAACAAUGU
rnacentral:lncRNA from 1 species